rnacentral:rRNA from 1 species
AUACGGAGGGUGCGAGCGUUAAUCGGAAUUACUGGGCGUAAAGGGUCCGUAGGCGGUCUGCUCAGUCUGAUGUGAAAGCCCCGGGCUUAACCUGGGAAUGGCAUUGGAUACUGGCGGACUAGAGUCUGGUAGAGGGUGGUGGAAUUCCCGGUGUGGCGGUGAAAUGCGUAGAUAUCGGGAGGAACACCAGUGGCGAAGGCGGCCACCUGGACCAAGACUGACGCUGAGGGACGAAAGCGUGGGGAGCAAACAGGAUUAGAAACCCUAGUAGUCC